UAGAGAGAGGAAGUGAGAGAGAAGGGAAAUUAGAGAGAGAAAGUAGAAAAUCAACCAAGUUUAAGGCCCCGAAUCCCAAAGCUCGUGAAGGAAAAAGUGUAGUACAAGUCGUUGUCGUCAUUUUAAGCCCAAGAUCGGACUUGGGGGUGUUGAUUUCGUGAUUACUACUCUUGAAAGAUUGAAGUUGAAGGGAUUGAAGAACAUUGUGAUACGCUCAAAAGCGGGAAGUUAAGGUACGGAUUUACAGGACGAUGCUUCUGAUCAUUAGGAUUUGCUCGUAUCAGCUUAUUGGUGAGCCCCAUCUCAUUCGGGGUUUAGUCAACUUUUACUUUAUGAUUAAUUAUGCAUCUAAAGGUAUGCUGGGGGCCUUAUCCCAGUAAGUAUGUUUUCCAGUCAGACUCAUGAUAGAGGUUUCAUAGACUAGACAAGUCAGUUAUGCUAUGUCAGACAUUCGGAGUCGUAUAGCCAUUUUUGGCUCAUUCAUGUUAUUUCCGCACUCAUGUUUAAACAAGUGUUUUUAUUAAGUAUUAUGACUUACUACAUUUUAUAAA